AGAGUUUGAUCAUGGCUCAGAACGAACGCUGGCGGCGUGCCUAACACAUGCAAGUCGAACGGAGUUGAGGGGCUUGCUCCUCAAUUUAGUGGCGCACGGGUGAGUAACGCGUAGAUAAUCUGCCUGAUGAUCUGGGAUAACAUCUCGAAAGGGGUGCUAAUACCGGAUAAGCCCACGACGGCUUUGGUCGUUGCGGGAAAAGGGGGGGACCUUCGGGCCUUCUGUCAUCAGAUGAGUCUGCGUACCAUUAGCUAGUUGGUAGGGUAAAGGCCUACCAAGGCGACGAUGGUUAGCUGGUCUGAGAGGAUGAUCAGCCAGACUGGAACUGGGACACGGUCCAGACUCCUACGGGAGGCAGCAGUGGGGAAUUUUGCGCAAUGGGCGAAAGCCUGACGCAGCAACGCCGCGUGAGUGAUGAAGGCUUUCGGGUCGUAAAGCUCUGUCAAGGGGAAAGAAGUGUAUUGCGGUUAAUACCCGUGAUACUUGACGGUACCCCUAAAGGAAGCACCGGCUAACUCCGUGCCAGCCGCCGCGGUAAUUC
rnacentral:rRNA from 1 species